rnacentral:piRNA from 1 species
UCUUUCUACUGUGGCCACUGUUACC